GCGCCGAUGGUAGUGUGGCAUUCGCCAUGCGAGAGUAGGACACUGCCAGGC
rnacentral:rRNA from 1 species